UACGGAGGGUGCAAGCGUUGCUCGGAUUUAUUGGGCGUAAAGGGUAGGUAGGUGGUCUUAUUUGUCUAGGGUGAAAUCCUUGAGCUUAACUCAAGAAGUGCCCUAGAAACGGUAAGACUAGAGUCCUGGAGAGGGUCGUGGAAUUCCCGGUGUAGCGGUGAAAUGCGUAGAUAUCGGAAGGAACACCGGUGGCGAAAGCGGCGCGCUGGACCUCUACUGACGCUGAGGCGCGAAAGCCAGGGGAGCAAACAGG
rnacentral:rRNA from 1 species